rnacentral:rRNA from 1 species
UACGUAGGGUCCGAGCGUUGUCCGGAGUUACUGGGCGUAAAGGGCGCGCAGGUGGCGGUGUUGGCCCGGCGUGAAAGCCCCCGGCUCAACCGGGGAGGGGCGUCGGGGACCGCACCGCUUGAGGGCGGUAGGGGCGGGUGGAAUGCCUGGUGUAGUGGUGAAAUGCGUAGAGAUCAGGCGGAACACCCGUAGCGAAGGCGGCCAGCUGGGCCGUCCCUGACACUGAGGCGCGAAGGCGUGGGGAGCGAACGGG